GCCUGCCCAGUGACAAAGUUCAACGGCCGCGGUACCCUAACCGUGCGAAGGUAGCAUAAUCACUUGUUCUUUAAAUGAGGACUUGUAUCAACGGCACUACGAGGGCUAUACUGUCUCCUUUUUCUAAUCAGUGAAACUGAUCUCCCCGUGAAGAAGCGGGGAUUAAAAUAUAAGACGAGAAGACCCCAUGGAGCUUUAAACUUACCACACACCUCUGUGAUGCUCUACCAUUAAACACAAGAGAUCUGCGUGCUAGUUUUAGGUUGGGGGGACCACGGAGUAAAAUUAAACCUCCACAACAAAUGGGCUUACACCCUUAUCCACGAGACACAACUCUAAGAAUUAUUAAACUAAUGCUUAUGACCCGAUAUUCGAUCAAUGAACCAAGUUACCCUGGGGAUAACAGCGCAAUCUACUUCAAGAGCCCCUAUCGACAAGUAGGUUUACGACCUCCAUGUUGGAUCAGGGUAUCCCGGUGGUGCAGCCGCUACCGAUGGUUCGUUUGUUCAACGAUUAAAACCCUACGUGAUCUGA
rnacentral:rRNA from 1 species